UCAUGAACGAAAGCGUGGGGAAUCAAACAGGAUUAGAUACCCUGGUAGUCCACGCUGUAAACGAUGAUUACUCGUUGUCGGCGAUAUACCGUCGGUGGUAAGCAAAAGUGAUAAGUAAUCCACCUGGGGGAGUACGAUCGCAAGGUUGAAACUCAAAGGAAUUGACGGGGGCCCGCACAAGCGGAGGAGCAUGUGGUUUAAUUCGAUGAUACGCGAGGAACCUUACCUGGGCUUAAAUGUAGAUUGCAUGAUGGGGAAACCUGUCUUUUCUUCGGAACUAUUUACAAGGUGCUGCAUGGUUGUCGUCAGCUCGUGCCGUGAGGUGUCGGGUUAAGUCCCAUAACGAGCGCAACCCCUACCUUUAGUUGCCAUCAGGUUAAGCUGGGGACUCUAAAGGAACUGCCUACGCAAGUAGUGAGGAAGGUGGGGAUGACGUCAAAUCAGCACGGCCCUUACGUCCAGGGCUACACACGUGCUACAAUGGUCGGUACAGAGGGUCGCUACCCCGCGAGGGGAUGCCAAUCUCGAAAGCCGAUCUCAGUUCGGAUCGAAGUCUGAAACUCGACUUCGUGAAGUUGGAUUCGCUAGUAAUCGCGCAUCAGCCAUGGCGCGGUGAAUACGUUCCCGGGCCUUGUACACACCGCCCGUCAAACAAUGGAAGCUUGGGGUACCUGAAGUCCGUCACCGCGAGGAUCGGCCUAGGGUAAAACAAGUAACUGGUGUUAAGUGGUAUCAAGGUAACCAAGGGCGAA
rnacentral:rRNA from 1 species